rnacentral:misc_RNA from 1 species
AAGUCGUAACAAGGUUUCCGUAGGUGAACCUGCGGAAGGAUCAUUAUUGAAAACUAUUCUAAUAGUUCUCAAUUAAAACCCCUUUGUUUUUAUACCAUGUUGCUUCCACUGGACAGGCUAAGCUUGUUACAUCAGGUGAAGCCCCCCAGAUUGUGUCUUUGGCACUCUCUGGGGAGCUGCCGGUGGGUAAAACCUAUAAACCUUGUUUAAACCUAUUUGUCUGAUAAAUAUUGAAAUAAAAUAAAACUUUCAACAACGGAUCUCUAGGCUCUU